GCGGGGUUAGUAUAAUGGUAAUACACAUCCUUGCCAAGGAUGAGACGCGAGUUCGAUUCUCGUACUCCGCUCCA
rnacentral:tRNA from 1 species